UGGCUCUGGCAUCGAUGAAGAACGCAGCGAAACGCGAUAGGUAGUGUGAAUUGCAGAACUCAGUGAACCAUCGAAUCUUUGAACGCACCUUGCGCCCGCCGGCAUCCCGGCGGGCAUGCCUGUCCGAGCGUCAUUUCCACCCUCAGGCCCCCCCCGGCCUGGUGUUGGGGACCCGCGCGCCGCGCGGCCCCCGAAAGACAGCGGCGGCACCGGCCCGGUCCCGAGCGUAGUAGCACACGUCGCUCUGGGCGCCGGGCGGUCGCCCGCCGUUAAACCCCCGACCGGUACUCGGUUGACCUCGGAUCAGGUAGGAAUACCCGCUGA
rnacentral:misc_RNA from 1 species